rnacentral:ncRNA from 1 species
GUAUUAAGUAGAGGUUGCGUUAUUUAUUAGUAACUUAUUAGAUGCGCCGGACGCAGGUGAAGAUAAGUGAAAGGAAACAACGCCGAAAGGAAUGUACCGGAAGCAUUUUCUUGGGCAUAAGGUGAAUAAUCUUAUGACUGUCAUCAAGCAAUUGAUGGGGCGCUACAGUAGUA